rnacentral:rRNA from 1 species
GACGAACGCUGGCGGCGUGCUUAACACAUGCAAGUCGAACGGAAAGGCCCUGCUUUUGUGGGGUGCUCGAGUGGCGAACGGGUGAGUAACAAGUGAGUAACCUGCCCUUGACUUUGGGAUAACUUCAGGAAACUGGGGCUAAUACCGGAUAGGAGCUCCUGCUGCAUGGUGGGGGUUGGAAAGUUUCGGCGGUUGGGGAUGGACUCGCGGCUUAUCAGCUUGUUGGUGGGGUAGUGGCUUACCAAGGCUUUGACGGGUAGCCGGCCUGAGGGGGUGACCGGCCACAUUGGGACUGAGAUACGGCCCAGACUCCUACGGGAGGCAGCAGUGGGGAAUAUUGCACAAUGGGCGGAAGCCUGAUGCAGCAACGCCGCGUGCGGGAUGACGGCCUUCGGGUUGUAAACCGCUUUCGCCUGUGACGAAGCGUGAGUGACGGUAAUGGGUAAAGAAGCACCGGCUAACUACGUG